rnacentral:misc_RNA from 1 species
AACACUGUUAACCUGCGGUACCUGCGGAGGGAUCAUUAACAAGCUGUGGGAGAUCAAUUUGAUCUCACACCUGGCCAACCUUGUUAACCUUAAAUAUAUUGCUUUGGUGAGCCCUGCUCACCAAAGUCAAACCCUAAACUCUUGAUUGUUUCUGCUGUCUGAGCAUGCAAGUGCAAAAUUUAGUUAAAAACUUUCAACAAUGGAUCU